CUCUCUGUUAGUACAGGGAGGUUUCCCAUACUACCAAAGCAGGACCAAAGGGUUUUAUUCUAUUGCUGUGGGCAUUCAGGACUCUGUAAAGUUAAUCCCACCCUGUGAAGGUUCAGGAGAGCAAUCGAGGAAGAAAAGCUCUUCCUUGCAUAUGAUCCAGCAGCGGGGAAGGAGCUGCAGAGCACAGAGAGACCCGGUGCAGUUUAAAUCGCAGCAGCAGGUAUCAGGUAGUGAAGCUUUUAUGGAGCUCCCUGAUACUGCCAACUGAUCAAGGGACUAAACCUAUUUUUAUCUGCAAUCGAGACUGAGACCUGCAGCAGACGCUGAAGGAGAUGCUCAGAGGGGAAUUGGGACCUUCUCAGCACCUGGCCAAGGGAUGUCCCACAGUGCUGGGCAGGUGCUGACACCCAAGGGGGAUCAUGCCUCUCUGUGACACACAGGCCUACAGCCUGAGCAAGAGCGCACAGGUGUCAGAGCACAGCAUUUGCAGAAAGGUAAGUGCAUUAAAACAAGCAUGUGAAGACUGUAAGCAAUCAGCUCAACCCCACAUUAAUGUUGCCGGUCCAUUUCCUAUUCCCAGGCUAUUGAGGGUAGCAGGGCAUAUUCUGAAGUUGCAGCGGGGUUUAAUGCUUCAUUUUAAUUCUUACUUCAAACUAUUUCACAUAAAGACAUUGAAUAGACAAAGUGUUACAAUUACAACUUUCCUCAGCCAAUUUUUUAUGUAGCCACUUAUAAAACCAGAGUCCCCAGCCCAGCUCAAAACCAGGGAUUUUCCCCAGUUCUGGGCAGACCAGUGCAGAGUGAUUUCAGCUGCUACCAGGCUUGCUACAUGGGUAAUUGAGCAUUUAGCAUGCCCAGCCAUUGCCUACAGUAGCUUUCCUAGCAGCACCCAGAUACCUUAAAUUAAUGUCAGCAAUAGUGGGAAAUGCAUGGAGGGUCUCUACUGAAGAUGGACAACAGCAUAAAGCUCAUCUCUCAAACCUAUCAAGGGGCUGCAAAGCUGAUGGGGGGCAGGAAGAGGAUAAGGGAGAGCAACUAAGUCUAAGCAACAGGGCAGAGAAAAUACAGGAAAGGUAAUAAGUGCUCAAAAUUGCCCAGGAGACUUCAGAGCUGGUCUUCUGCCUAGGGGGCUCGUAUCUUAUUUAUUAGGCCAUGCUGCCUCACAUGGGAGUGUGGAGGCUCCCCCAGGUGCCUGGGUACCCAGCACGCCAAGAUGAGCAGCUGUUGCCACCUUCCCAGCGGAAAAAUUAAAGCAAUAGGGAGUUCAGAGAGAUCUGCUGCUGCGCCAGAAGAAAGUGAAGGGAACUAUGUCAUUAUCAUGCCUACAGAGGCCAGCCUGACCCCAAGAGACAGUGGCAGUAAUAGUGUUUUAUAGUAAUUCAAUAACUAUUUAUGCCGGGAGGAUGAGUUAUGCUGACUGGCCUUAUUUGCUAAGUUAUUAGAUAGCAAAACUAAGAGGAUUUUCAGAGCUGGUGUAGAGAGGCCAGUUCCACUGUCUUUCUUUUAAUGCAGGGAAAAUUAGAAGUUGACAUAAAUGGACAAUUAACUGAAUCCUUUAAUGUCAUCAACACUCUCCAGUCUCAGAGAGGCACCAGGUGUUCUUCAGAGUUAACAGAGCCAGGAGAUGCCAGCGUGGGAGCCCAGCACUCCAGGGCAGGAAGAAAAGAGAGCCGGGGGCUGAGAGCCACGACCAUAUGAAGAGAUGCCGGCAUCUGCUCCUGUCUCUGAAGCAACUCCGCUGGCUGCAACAUAUCUCCCCUGUCAUUAUAUUCCCACUCAAAAACUGUUCAGUUCUGGCCCUGCAGCUCUGUCCUCAUCUCCCAGAAAGUAUAAAGACAGGGAGAUGGGUGAAGAUCCUGAAGAUCUCCACACACCUUUGACUACUUAGGAGUUCUGGGAUAAAACCUAGACUGUAUCAUAUGUGCCUGUAUGUGAGCAAGACCUCCAGAGAGCAGCUGUCCCCAGGAAACCCUGAACCCAGGCACCUCUGUUCAGUUCCCCUCACCACAUACACCAACGCCAUGUAGCCUCCGCAUGUGCAGAUUCACAGUGAACAGUUGGCUGCACAGUUGGUAAGAAAUGCUGUUUCCACAAGGUGGUAUCACCAGAUACCUCAAAAAUGGCCCAGCUUAUACUGCAGCUAGCUGUGAAUUACAGCACUUCACAGUUCCUUUCCAAGGAACAGCAAAGCCAGGAGUGUAGCUCACAGGAAUCGUGAGAAAUACCUCACCUGAGAUUUCGGCAACUCACAGGAUGGGAGAUCAGAGAAAGGACUCUCUUUUUGUUCACAAUGUUACUUACUAGCAGGCCAACAAGAUGACAAAGUCUGGACCAAACCCUCUCUGUAAGAGGGACUGUACCCUAUUUAAGCAUGGAGAUGACUCGCCCUCGAUCCUGAUGCCCCGGGCAGACUACAGACAACCUGAGAUGCCUUCCCCCUUCAGCUGGAGAGCCCUUCCCCAGCUGGCUGACACCACGACGUUUUCUUGCAUGAGGGCUGACCUUAGCCUGGACACUUUUGAAACUGUAAUUUGAGGGGAAAGGGAUGAAAAACUACAAACGCUGUCUAACGGUCUCCCCAAAUGCACUUAAAGUAGAGAAAAUUCUUGGAAAAGCACAGGGGAAAAGCGAUUUCUUUGGGGCUUGGAGCCUCUAAGGAGAGAAUUGUUUACCCCAAAAUAGUUCUCAGUUUGCGAGUAGCAGAAGGUGACGCAAAUGCUGGGAGAAGUCAUGGAUCCUGUCCUGGCUGGACACUGCAACAGGGUACAUAUGGUGCAUGGCUGCCUCUGCCAGAGCAAGCCUCACUAAGGGCCUUCUCUUCAGACCACUUUGGAGUAGAUCCGUCAACUUUAAGUCAUGCAGAGCAGAAGUCAAGUCAGAUAUAGUGUCCAUGGUUCCAGUGCCCCAGAUGCGGCCUGAUGGACCGGCUGGCCUUGAGGGCACAGAGCAAGGUGCUAGACAGCUCGGUGUCUGGGUGCCAGAGGCUCACGGCCAUGGCCUCAUCCCCUCCAUCAGCUGCUGCUGGUCACACCACCCUCAAGGAGGCACCUGACUCCUCCAAGGAUAUAUAUGUAUAAAUCUCAGCUUCCCUCAGCCCUGGCUGUUGCUAUCUCCCCAGGCUUCUGUCCUGUUUGAGCCCCUUCCCACGUGAGCCUGGUGAGCUCCCUGCUGCUUCUCUUCCUCCUACUCUCGGCGAGCAUCUAGGUCUGUUGCCAGAUCAGCCAAGAGGUGCUCAGGAGUGUCCAAGUCCACACGACAGCAUCUCCACAUUUCCUUCUGAUGGGAGGAAGAAGUGCUCCUCCUUUGGGAAAUGAGGUUCUGUUAGAUGGAAGCCCCUCCAAAUACUACUGCUGUUCUAAGGAAAUUCAGCCCUCAGGAUCAACCAACAGUCUCUUUUUGCCUUACCAAAAAGAAGAGAGCAACGAAUCUUGUGGAGAAGCCAGGAGUUGAACCUAGCUCUCAAGAGAAGCAUGCAAAUGUUUUAUCUGCAAUAUUGCCUUUCCUUCGGAGCAGGGUAGGGGAGAAAAAUACAGAAAAAAAAUCACCCUCACAAAUAUCAGUACUAGUCAUCAUCCAAACUUUCCAAAAAUCACUGAAACUAAUCAAAAUUCUGCGUCUCAUGCCAUGUACUGUGCAGGGACGUAUCAAGUAAGUGAAAAAUAUACGUACUCUGCUUGGAUGUGCUGACACAUACCCCUGUCAGAUAUAAUUAAGGCUCCCAUUCUUUGUCUUUCCUACCACUAGUUCUAUAUAUUAAGUUCCAUUCUAAUUUAAUUACCCUUAUUGCAGCAUUUCUUCAUUCAAAAUGAAUAGCUUCUAGGAAUGGUGCUUUCAGGGGAACACAGUGGGGUUUUUUUUUUGUUUUCUUUUUUUCACACUAGUAAUUGGCAUUUGCAGUAAGCAUAGGGAAAACCCAAUUCCCAGUGCCAUGGGGAAGAUAAUGAAAUUUGCACCGUUCUAAGAAAUUAGAAGGGAUUUGGAGGUUUAAAAUAACUUUUACAAAAUAAAACAAGAAACUUAUGUUAGCUUUUGUUCCAGGCAGCAAACGGGAGGCUCACAGGCAAGCUAAAGCUUUGUAAAGCAAUGCAUCUCCCAUAUUAAUAUCACUUAUGUGCAGCUCAGAAGCACCUGAAGGCCCCCUCUAAGCUUGAGACCCCAUCGUUCUAGUGCUGUUCAAGUAGGUUACGAUAAGUCAUCCGUGCCAUCUAGAGUUCACAACAAGAGCUAGCUGAAAAUUUCCCCCAGGACCAUUUUUUCUGAUAGAAAGUGAAAUGCCUGCAAAAUUAUCUGUUUUAACCCUACCAUAAUUAUUUCAGGUCAGUGGAAUAAACCUAGACAGCUUCUGCUCUGCUUCAGCACAGCAUCUGCUGCUCAAGGGCUGCUGUGCACCAGGGUUUCUGAGGACGUGUGCCCUUCUGCUGCCUGGGAGCGCUGUCUGGUUUGGAUUUCAGGACUCUCUGCAUUUCUCUGGAAAUCUUGAAGGUGUUGUUCAUGCAAGGACAGAUCUGCCCUGCAGGACACAUUGAAUGAGUGUGAUGCCUCCAAGACCUGCCAGUGGUCUGUCCACACACCCACGAGCUGGUGCUCUUCAGACAAACUCCCAUGCCCAGAUCACUUGGGUAGUAUGUGAGUACAGAUGUUUACUUCUGCCAAGGAAAUCCUUUUUCUUACCAGACAGCAUGGUGCUUCAUGGGGCACUUGUUGCCCCAUUUCAGGCAUAUUACUGAAGGAAGCUAAAAUACAGAGCAAGUGGAGUUUCCAGAAGGGGACAAGAAAUCUGUUCCUGAAACACACCAGAAGCAACUAUGUCAUGAUUACAAAGACCUUAAAAAAAAAAAAAAAAAAAAAAAAAAAAAGGAAACAUCAUCUGAGUGUAACUGAAAGCAGUUCUAAGUUGCCCCAGGUGCUGCUUUCCUUGAGAUGAAAAAUACUGCAAAGAGAAGAGAAGGCACAAUUUUCUCCAGAACUAAUACUUGCUCUCAAAUAGCAAAGAACGGAUCUGGACCUAUGAUUUUCUGCAAAGAUUGGUCCCUUUGGGAGGGAUUCACCUUGCCUUACUGUAGCAGACUGAUUCAGUUGCCAGCUCACAGACGUGCCCAUACAGGACCUGCACAAAUUCACACCUCUCAGCUCUGCUCUUUCUUGCACAGACCCCCAGUGAUGGGCCAGCUCUGGGGUCCCUUCAUUACCACUCAGACGCAGUGGAGAGCUAGACAUCAGCAAUGCCAACUGCACACAUAAACACCUCCAUCCAGUGUUUUCACAUGAAGCUGAAUCCCACCUUUACCGUGCACCUGACCCAUUUUAGAGGUCCUCUUCAGCAUACCAUGUGAAUUAUAUCCUUUCCUCCCCUGACUUUAUCCCUGUGGACGGUAUGAAGAGGUGGCUACCUCAGAUGUGGAUGCCUAUGUUGCAACUGUCCACUGGAGAUGUGUUGGGUGUCAGAGACAGCCAAAGGUACACGGCCCUGUGGACAAGGCGGAGCCUUCUGCAGCAGCAACGGGAGCCCAGGCAGGACACUCCUAGCAUCUCAGUGUCCCUCAACACCUACGGAUAAAAGAGUUCUACCUUUCACCAGCUGGCUCCCAUCCUGUGUGUCCCCAGGUCCACACUGGUUGGACAACUUGCCAGCAGGCAUUGCUGUUUCUUCCAGUCAAUGCUUUAGGUGAAAUCACCCUUCAGUAUGGGUGUCACCCUCCAAAAUGAGAAAGAAGAGAUGGAGAGGGACUGCGUGGAUCCCCCUCUGUCAUGGAUGACCUAUCUUACACAGCCCUCCAGAAAUGCUGGAGGAAUACCACUGAGUGGAAGGGGAGCCACAAGGAGGAAGGGCCAUGCCCCCUGCCACUGCAGCACCACCCAGGGCUGAAAAGGGAAAACUCUGGGAGGAAAAGAAGAGGCAAGCUAACGAAAACAGCACUGGAUUACCUCUUCUAUGGCACAGGGAGGAAAGCUGCCAUCCCCAUCACUGGUGAGGCUCCAGGUGCCUUCACUUGAGUCAGGAUUCACCCCUAAAAGCCUUUCUUUCCCUGAUUCUCUCAUUUAGCUUAGCAUGGCAGUGAGACGUGUGCAGCAUCUAAUGUAUUUUCAAUACGUCAGCAUUCAAAAAGUGGUGGAGAAGCAGAGAUGUAUGAGGAUCUCCAAGCAGCCUGUACUUAAAAAUGUGUGUGUUGAACCCAUUCUCAUUCUCCUAGUCCCUUUUUAUAGUCUUUAUAGGGUUAAUCCUGCUCUCUUGUCUACUAGUAAAAAUGCAGGGGUUUCCAGGAGCUUACACAGGUGGCGAUGACUGUGACUAGCAGUAUUGUUGCAUGCAACUCCUACCUCUUAAUCCUGGCUUCAGCUCUUCAGUAAAAGCUAUACAGGGCAUGAGAAAGUGAAGUCAAAGGGCAGGUGUCCAGAGAGAUGCCCUGCAGUAGCUGCCCAGUGUGGCUCCAGACCAUUCCUGUGCCUCAGUUUCCCCACAGACGUAACCCAGAGCUCCCUACCGGCCUUGCCAGUGAUCUCAGGCCAGACUUGUUAUUUGUGGAGUUGGCUGAGAGAUGAGAUGAAAGGUUCCACGUCAGUGCAGAGUAAAUUGUUAUUAAAUGAGAGCUAAUGAAUGAUCACACGAAUCCCAAACUGGAGCAAUUAGCCAUUCUGCAGCUGCCAGAGGGUAUUUUCCCUGCUGCUACAGUUGCCUCUAGGUGGCUGAUUUUUAAAUUACUCUUUCCUCUUUGCUUCACGACAUUGCCUUGGGAGCCAAUCAAGCCUUUCUUUCCGAGUAUAUGAGAGUGCUCAUUUACAUCCAAGAGCGGUGCCCCGGUACAGUUCAGGUGGGGCUGGCCCCGCAGUCUGCAUGCAGUUUAUUCCUGUUGAAAAAGGUGAUUUCCUUGAAGAGAGGAUAAACGCUGUGUGGUUACAAGGCACCUUUACACAGACACACCUUCAAGAGAAGCUGUAUUCAGGACCUUCAUCCGCGGCACACACAUGGGAUCUUAGGUCCAUAGGCAACCGUGGGCUUUACUGUGCAGAAAAUCCUGCCUCAUGCUUUGCAGCAGAGCCCAUAGCAAACUAAGAGCAUUACUUGCCACGAAAGUUUCUGCUGGCACAGAGGCUGGGUGCAGGGGCAGGAUUUGGCGUCUCAGGUCAGGUCUGGGGCCAGGGCAGCCCUGACGCUGCUCCUUCACGGUACCAUUGCUCUCUCCAUAAGGUCCCUCUGUGCUGGAGAAAUGUCUGCUCAUGAAACAGAGGGUUGAGGAAAGAAGGCUAGUUGUUCUUCUUUGAGAGAAAGCCUGGGCACACUCCCUGUUUCUUAAAUAU